rnacentral:rRNA from 1 species
GACGUAGGGUCCAAGCGUUGUCCGGAAUUAUUGGGCGUAAAGAGCUCGUAGGCGGUUCAGUAAGUCGGGUGUGAAAACUUUGGGCUUAACCCAAAGCGUGCAUCCGAUACUGCUGUGACUUGAGUUCGGUAGGGGAGUGGGGAAUUCCUAGUGUAGCGGUGAAAUGCGCAGAUAUUAGGAGGAACACCGGUGGCGAAGGCGCCACUCUGGGCCGAAACUGACGCUGAGGAGCGAAAGCAUGGGUAGCAAACAGG